UCAGAAUCCAGAACUGCAGGGUCCUGGAAAACCUCAGCUGUUUUCCAGGUGCCGGUCAGUGCUUGGGAAAGCUGAGAAGGGAGGGUUCUGUGCUCUGGCUGUGGCAGGCCCAGCAGGUCCCGAAGCCUGUGACUCACGGAGAUGCCUGCAUCGUUAGCACCCAUGUGAGCCUGUCUUGCAGCUAUGAAGCACUCGCCAAAGGACAAGGCACGGACUGGGGGCUGCUGGUGAGAAGCAAGCACACAGCACCCCAUGCCUGCAGACAAGUGCCCCCCGCCCCUGCGGACCUGCUCCCGUCCCAGUGCAUGGCUGCGUGUUGGGUGCUUGCUGGGUGAAGGCCCGGGGCUGCUGCCGGUGGGCGGGAUGGGGCCACCACUCCUGCCAUUUGCUGAAUUUCGACUUGCAAAGCAGCAGUGGAGACAUCACCAGCUCUUUGAACCUCUGUCACCCGUUCUCCAAAUCCUGCUGCCUUCAGAUGACACCGCUUGGAUAUUUUCUGCUUCCGUGGGGCAGGCAGGAAAAUCCCUGCCAGAUGGGAAGCCUGGAGAUAACCCAGGAACCCAAGGCUUGGAUGUGCCACUCCUCACAGACCACCCACGGGCGAGCGCUCCUGCUCUGUCUUACCUCUCUGGAAAGCUGUGUGCAUCCCUCAUUCUUCAUUGCUUUGGAAAAUGCCUGUGCCAGCCAGUGUCUAGGGUGCUGGACGAGCACGCACGAGGCCCGUGUACAGCAGGGGCUGAUGGUCGCAUCCGGAGGGGGUGA
rnacentral:lncRNA from 1 species